rnacentral:lncRNA from 1 species
GGGGAAUUACAGGAUGCAUGAACAAGAACAGUGGUGUAGUUGGUUGAUGGACUGAUGGUGCUUGGUGGACUGGUGGAGGAGGAAGUGACGCUGAUGGCGAUGCUUGCAGGUUUUCGGUUUGAAAAGCAUAUACGUACGGUUUAGGGAGGUUGUCGGCCGCGCCCGCGCGUGCGCUCCUGCCUAUCGAACCACGGCGAGGAAGGUGCUCGUCGGAGCGGAGGUCGCGGGUGCGGCCGCCGUCGUUGGUGCUGGUGCCGGCGGUGCGCUGUUGGUGCCGCCCGAGUUCGGCCUCUGGAACUGUAUCCUGUACUGCAUUUUGCCGUCGUCCUCGCCCUCCUCACCGUCGGUGUACUCAUCGCCCAUCUCG